GACGAACGCUGGCGGCGUGCUUAACACAUGCAAGUCGUGCGGUAAGGCCCUUUCGGGGGUACACGAGCGGCGAACGGGUGAGUAACACGUGAGCAACCUUCCCUUCACUUUGGGAUAACUGCCGGAAACGGUGGCUAAUACCGGAUAUGACUUCCUCACGCAUGUGGGGGGGUGGAAAGCCUUCGGGGGGUGGGGGAUGGGCUCGCGGUCUAUCAGCUUGUUGGUGGGGGGAUGGCCUACCAAGGCUUCGACGGGUAGCCGGCCUGAGAGGGUGACCGGCCACACUGGGACUGCGACACGGCCCAGACUCCUACGGGAGGCAGCAGUGGGGAAUAUUGGACAAUGGGCGAAAGCCUGAUCCAGCAACGCCGCGUGAGGGAUGACGGCCUUCGGGUUGUAAACCUCUUUCGCCUGCGACGAAGCGAGAGUGACGGUAGCAGGUAAAGAAGCACCGGCCAACUACGUG
rnacentral:rRNA from 1 species